AACGAACGCUGGCGGCAUGCCUAACACAUGCAAGUCGAACGAUGCUUUCGGGCAUAGUGGCGCACGGGUUCGUAACGCGUGGGAAUCUGCCCUUUGGUUCGGCAUCACAUUGAGAAAUUGCUGCUAAUACCGGCUGAUGUCUUCGGCCCAAAGAUUUAUCGCCCAGGGAUGAGCCCGCGUAGGAUUAGCUAGUUGGUGGGUUAAUGGCAUACCAAGGCGACGAUCCUUAGCUGGUCUGAGAGAAUGAUCAGCCACACUGGGACUGAGACACGGCCCAGACUCCUACGGGAGGCAGCAGUGGGGAAUAGUGGACAAUGGGCGCAAGACUGAUCCAGCAAGGACGGGUGAGUGAUGAAGGCAGUAGGGUUGUAAAGCUCUUUUACCCGGGAUGAUAAUGACAGUACCGGGAGAAUAAGCCCCGGCUAACUCCGUG
rnacentral:rRNA from 1 species